rnacentral:tRNA from 1 species
CGUCCACACAGGGAGUCAAACCCUGAUCUAAGGUUUCGUAGACCUUUGUUCUUUCAUUAAACUAUGCAGAC